rnacentral:rRNA from 1 species
UACGAAGGGGGCUAGCGUUGCUCGGAAUCACUGGGCGUAAAGCGCACGUAGGCGGAUCUUUGAGUCAGGGGUGAAAUCCUGGAGCUCAACUCCAGAACUGCCUUUGAUACUGGGGAUCUCGAGUCCGGGAGAGGUGAGUGGAACUCCGAGUGUAGAGGUGAAAUUCGUAGAUAUUCGGAAGAACACCAGUGGCGAAGGCGGCUCACUGGCCCGGUACUGACGCUGAGGUGCUAAAGCGUGGGGAGCAAACAGG